ensembl:Y_RNA Y_RNA Y RNA
GGUCCGAAGGUAGUGAGUUAUCUAAGUCAGUUGUUCUCAGUCAGUUACAGAUUGAACUCCUGUGCUAUACUUCUCCUUCUCGCUACUGAACUUGACU